rnacentral:rRNA from 1 species
AUGAAACUAAUAAGCUGGAACUAUCGGGGUUUGGGACAAUCCCGCACAGUUCAAGAACUGGUGUGCCUCGUGCGCACUCACAAGCCCAAGUUAGUUUUCAUAUCAGAGACACGGCAAAGCAGUGAAAGAGUGAAUAAACUUAGAUGGAGGCUUGGCCUCAAGCAUUGUAUCGUGCAACCCGGCAUUGGCAAAGGUGCCGGCAUUGCACUCUUCUAUGAUGAUAGCACCCAAUGGAGAGGUACUUUCGUAUAUGGAGAGCCGAAAGCACACGAGAGGCAUCAUAUGUGGAACCUCUUGAGAAGGAUACGGAACAAUGUGAUGGAACCAUGGAUGAUGAUAGGGGAUUUUAAUGAAACCAUGUGGCAAAGUGAACAUUUCUCGAGAGCAAAAAGAUCAGAGAAAGGUAUGGCUGACUUCAGAGAAGUGCUUGCGGACAGAAACCUCCAUGAUCUAGGUUUUAAGGGUACGGGGUGGACUUAUGACAACAAGCAACGAGGGCAUAACAAUGUAAAAGCCCGAAUCGAUAGGGGUGUGGCAAGCCCAGAAUGGAACCGUUUAUUCCAGGGAGCAACUGUUGAACACCUAGUCUCUUCACGUUCAGAUCAUGUACCUCUUCUCCUUCGAUUUGGGAAAUGGAAGGAAUGGAGGCCUAUAAAAGAUAAUUUCAGAUACGAGUAUAUGUGGGAAAGAGAACCGGGGCUGGAAGAGGUAAUACACAAUGCAUGGAGCACCGGAAAUGAGGCAAUCUCUCUGGGGGACAUCUCAAAGAAACUAAAAAACAUGCGUGAUGUUUUGGGUAAAUGGGCGCACAAGGAGUUCAACUCGGUUCAGAACAAACUGAAAAGUCUGCGGGAUAUGCUAAAAGGGGAUGAGAAUGUUGGCGCAAACAGCAGAGAUUGA